rnacentral:lncRNA from 1 species
AGUCCCCACAGCUGUCCUCACUUGGCGAUGGCUUCAUCCCGCUCCUGCAGGACCUGGUCCAGAGAAGGCUCUGUCUGGAUGGCCCCCAGUGCUCCAGCCGCUGGAGAUUCUGGGCUCUGUUGUAGGGGACAGAGGAGGGGACUGUGAUCUGGGGCUCCGCUAAAUGAGGUGUCCCACCCUGGAAUUUUCUGCCCUGGCCUUGACCCUGAUGCUGGUGUCAGGAGGGGAGGAAGCUGAGGUGCCCUGUACCGGCUUCAAGCACCCUGGCCUGUGGCUGCUGGGAAGUAGAGCACAGACCCGAGAGGGCGGCAGGUGACACUGCUGCUUGGUCUCAGGGCAGCAGAAUGGGCAGGGUGUUUGAGCCCCCAGAGACAGGAGUCCUCACCCCCUCCUCAGGAAAGGAGAAGGUAAGUGGGUUCAGGACACUUACCCCUUGAGAGCCCUGGACAGAAAGAGUGGCCGGGUGACGGGGACUCUUGUCGGCAGGGUGGGGCAAGGAAAGGACAUGGCCCUUGCCCUCCCUUCCAGGCAAGGCACUCCCUGGCAGGCGGGACCCAGUGGGCAGGCCCCAGCAGGCGGGCCCAGGACAAGGAGCAUAGGGCCCCUCCCUCCUGUCCUGCAUCCUGCCCAGUGGCCUGUGCCAGUGCCUUCCUGCCCAGUCACAGGCCUCCCUUCUACUGCCUCUUGUGAUGACAGGGUCAGCAAGAUGCUGCAGCCCCUCCCCACCCCCAUGAAGGGCCUGUCACCUUGAUACCUGGAAUGGCAUCGUCCCCACACAGCUCUGAUCUCACCUCACAGGAAAUAAGGAAAAAAGUUUAUUUGUGGCAGACUUCUCCAGACUAACAAUCCCUUGAUAUAUUGCUGAGGCUGACUGUGGAUUUGCGAUCCUCCUGCCUCGGCCUCCUGAGUCCAUGGGAUUUCAGAUAGCACCCAGCCCUCUAGACAACUUGACUGUCCCUCCUCCCUCCAUGGCAGGCAGCAACUGCAUUGCUACACUCUAGAGAGCAGGUCUCAGGACCCCAUAUCACCUACAGUGACAGUCUGUCUCCAUGGGCACAUUGAGUGACAAAACUCAUAAGGAGACUCAUCCCCACUGAGAGGCCUUUGCAGUAAGAUUGUGUCUUGGGGGUUGUGUUUCCAACUCAGCCUAAGCAGUAAAUGCUUCCUCUAAGACCCUCUGUGACUCCUGAUCUCUGGUCCUGCCCAGUGAGGGUUGCUUCAAUGGCCAGUCUCAGUGAUUUUUGUGACUGUACCCCAGGUCAAGAGGUGGGCUUGGCCUGUACCCUGAGUAUGGCUCUGCCAUGAGCAGACAGGCCCUGCUCCCAGGGUGCUCCAGGGCUAGGAAGGAUGAAGCUCAGGCACGGUGGUAAGAGGGUGGCAGUGGUCCCCAGGUGGGAGCACAGAGACGGCCCCUCAGACCCAUCAGCCACAGGGAUUCUUGAGGUGUUUGUCCAAGGUGAAUCUUGCAGGCUGUCUGUCAGAGCCAGGACAAGGGCUAACACUCGAUAACAUUUAAACUUUUUAUUUUGAAACAAUGUCAAAUUGCUGUUUGAUGUUAAAAAAAAAAGCUUUUGCAGUUAAAUAUUCUAUUAUGGUAUCAAACAUUAUGCCUGAUUGUACAUCUUGCUGGUCUCCCUCAAUCAAGAACAAUUUGCAGCCUUUGAGUUUCAUGACCUUGACAUUUUUGUAGUUUACAGGGAAGUUAUUUUGUAGAUAGUCCUUCAUUGGUCUUGCUCCGAUCCUCCCUCUGAUUGGACCACUGUUGUGCGUUUAAUGAAUGCUGCGUUCUAUCCAACGUCGACUGGAAACAUGACUGGGGGUGUUAAUGUGGGCCAGUUGAUUAAGAAGCAUAAAAAGGUGGCUCACGCCUGAAAUCCCAGUGGCUUGGAAAGUUGAGGCCGGAGGAUUGUGAGUUCAAAGCAAG